rnacentral:lncRNA from 1 species
AUGAGAAUUCCUAAGAUUUCUGUACAGCCUAGUAAAAUGGAAAGAACAUUACAUGAUCAAGCAAGCAAAAGAAACACUGUCUCUUCUCACCAUAGCAUUUCAUCAAAAUUCAUUUCCCCUAUGAUGGCUGUCAAGAAUCAAUUCCAAGAGCUGAUCCACAAGAUACUAUGGACUUGGUUGAUUAACCUUCUAACAGCUGACCAAAAGGAUGUGAAUGUCUCCCUGAGAUCAGACAGACCAGCAUGGGGGAAGUGUAUAUGUGGCUCAUCCCGAUAGAGAAUAUAAAACGUCAACAACUAACAAGGAAAUUUCAAAGAGAGCAACGGACUUGAGCUGGCAUCAACCCACAUAUUCCUUCCCAGUGACUGGGGAGGCCCAGCAUCGUGAUAGUGAGCAUAUUUGAGACUGGUAAUGGCAA